UACGUAGGGUGCGAGCGUUAAUCGGAAUUACUGGGCGUAAAGCGUGCGCAGGCGGUUCUGAAAGUCAGCUGUGAAAGCCCCGGGCUUAACCUGGGAACGGCGGUUGAAACUACAGGACUAGAAUCUGGCAGAGGGGGGUGGAAUUCCACGGUGUAGCAGUGAAAUGCGUAGAGAUGUGGAGGAACACCGAUGGCGAAGGCAGCCCCCUGGGCUGAGAUUGACGCUCAGGCACGAAAGCGUGGGGAGCAAACAGG
rnacentral:rRNA from 1 species